rnacentral:rRNA from 1 species
UGGGGAAUUUUGGACAAUGGGGGCAACCCUGAUCCAGCCAUGCCGCGUGAGUGAAGAAGGCCUUCGGGUUGUAAAGCUCUUUCAGCAGGAACGAAACGGCGGAUACUAAUACUAUCCGUUAAUGACGGUACCUGCAUAAGAAGCACCGGCUAACUACGUGCCAGCAGCCGCGGUAAUACGUAGGGUGCGAGCGUUAAUCGGAAUUACUGGGCGUAAAGCGUGCGCAGGCGGUUUCGUAAGCCAGAUGUGAAAUCCCCGGGCUUAACCUGGGAACUGCGUUUGGAACUGCGAGGCUAGAGUGUAGCAGAGGGGGGUAGAAUUCCACGUGUAGCAGUGAAAUGCGUAGAGAUGUGGAGGAAUACCGAUGGCGAAGGCAGCCCCCUGGGUUAACACUGACGCUCAUGCACGAAAGCGUGGGGAGCAAACAGG